rnacentral:rRNA from 1 species
AGCUCCAAUAGCGUAUCUUAAAGUUGUUGUGGUUAAAAAGCUCGUAGUUGGAUUUCGGCGGGCAUAGGUCGGUUUGAAUCGCUUCAACACUGACUUUUUUGCCCGUGUGUGUUUGCCAGAGUUUGACAGGUGAUCUUAAUCGAUUGUCCGUUGGAGCUGGCAGGUUUACUUUGAAAAAAUUAGAGUGCUCAAAGCAAGCUUGAUUGCUUGAAUAUUCGUGCAUGGAAUAAUAGAAUAGGAAGUCGUUUCUAUUUUGUUGGUUUUCGGAGAUUGACUUAAUGAUUAAUAGGGAUAGUCGGGGGCAUUUGUAUUCAAACGACAGAGGUGAAAUUCUUGGACCGUUUGAAGACAAACUACUGCGAAAGCAUUUGCCAAGAAUGUUUUCA